CAAACUCAUAUUUUUAUGAUAAAAAUAACAUUUAGCUACCAUAUAUCCAAUAUAAUUCUAAAACUUUGCUUACAACAUCGAUUGGAAUGAUAAAAUCCUUAAGAAUCAAUUUUGAAAUGGAUUAAAAGAUAAUGUCAAAGAUUUAUUAUUGACAAUGCUAAGAGUAGUUUUAUUUGAGCAAUUUAUUGCUUAAGCCAUUCUAUGCAACAAUUGACUAUUUGAAAGACACCAAAAAUAAAGAUUUGGUUGGAGAGAUACAAAUCAAGUCAUGACAAUAUCUUCUAAGUUUUUAGAAGCUUAUUCAUCUAGGCAAGAGCCUACACAAAUUGAUAUAAUAUAUUUCAAACAUCUUACUAAGUAAGAAAAGACCAAACGUCAUGAAGAAAGAUUAUGCUUAUAUUGUGGAAAAUCCAAAUAUAUUACUUAAUAUUGUCCAAAGAAGCAAUAUAAUCACAAAAUAAAAAACAUGGUUGCUAAUAAAGAUGAUAUG
rnacentral:lncRNA from 1 species